rnacentral:tRNA from 1 species
GGUUCAGUAGCUUAGUUGAUAAAGUACUUGUCUAUCGUAUAAUGAUCGUAAGUUCAAAUCUCACUUGAGUUG